UCAUCUUCGGGGGUAGAGCACUGUUUCGGCUAGGGGGUCAUCCCGACUUACCAACCCGAUGCAAACUACGAAUACCGAAGAAUGUUAUCACGGGAGACACACGGCGGGUGCUAACGUCCGUCGUGAAGAGGGAAACAACCCAGACCGCCAGCUAAGGUCCCAAAGUCAUGGUUAAGUGGGAAACGAUGUGGGAAGGCCCAGACAGCCAGGAUGUUGGCUUAGAAGCAGCCAUCAUUUAAAGAAAGCGUAAUAGCUCACUGGUCGAGUCGGCCUGCGCGGAAGAUGUAACGGGGCUAAACCAUGCACCGAAGCUGCGGCAGCGACGCUUAUGCGUUGUUGGGUAGGGGAGCGUUCUGUAAGCCGUUGAAGGUGGCCUGUGAGGGUUGCUGGAGGUAUCAGAAGUGCGAAUGCUGACAUAAGUAACGAUAAUGCGGGUGAAAAACCCGCACGCCGGAAGACCAAGGGUUCCUGUCCAACGUUAAUCGGGGCAGGGUGAGUCGACCCCUAAGGCGAGGCCGAAAGGCGUAGUCGAUGGGAAACAGGUUAAUAUUCCUGUACUUGGUGUUACUGCGAAGGGGGGACGGAGAAGGCUAUGUUGGCCGGGCGACGGUUGUCCCGGUUUAAGCAUGUAGGCGGAUGUUCCAGGUAAAUCCGGAACGUUAUUAACGCUGAGGUGUGAUGACGAGGCACUACGGUGCUGAAGUGACAAAUGCCCUGCUUCCAGGAAAAGCCUCUAAGCAUCAGGUAACAUCAAAUCGUACCCCAAACCGACACAGGUGGUCAGGUAGAGAAUACCAAGGCGCUUGAGAGAACUCGGGUGAAGGAACUAGGCAAAAUGGUGCCGUAACUUCGGGAGAAGGCACGCUGAUGGUAGGUGAAGUGACUUGCUCGUGGAGCUGAAAUCAGUCGAAGAUACCAGCUGGCUGCAACUGUUUAUUAAAAACACAGCACUGUGCAAACACGAAAGUGGACGUAUACGGUGUGACGCCUGCCCGGUGCCGGAAGGUUAAUUGAUGGGGUUAUCCUCGCGGAGAAGCUCUUGAUCGAAGCCCCGGUAAACGGCGGCCGUAACUAUAACGGUCCUAAGGUAGCGAAAUUCCUUGUCGGGUAAGUUCCGACCUGCACGAAUGGCGUAAUGAUGGCCAGGCUGUCUCCACCCGAGACUCAGUGAAAUUGAACUCGCUGUGAAGAUGCAGUGUACCCGCGGCAAGACGGAAAGACCCCGUGAACCUUUACUAUAGCUUGACACUGAACACUGGUCCUUGAUGUGUAGGAUAGGUGGGAGGCUUUGAAGUGUGGACGCCAGUCUGCAUGGAGCCGUCCUUGAAAUACCACCCUUUAAUGGCUGGUGUUCUAACGUGGGCCCGUGAUCGGGGUUGCGGACAGUGUCUGGUGGGUAGUUUGACUGGGGCGGUCUCCUCCUAAAGAGUAACGGAGGAGCACGAAGGUCAGCUAAUCCUGGUCGGACAUCAGGAGGUUAGUGCAAUGGCAUAAGCUGGCUUGACUGCGAGCGUGACGGCGCGAGCAGGUGCGAAAGCAGGUCAUAGUGAUCCGGUGGUUCUGAAUGGAAGGGCCAUCGCUCAACGGAUAAAAGGUACUCCGGGGAUAACAGGCUGAUACCGCCCAAGAGUUCAUAUCGACGGCGGUGUUUGGCACCUCGAUGUCGGCUCAUCACAUCCUGGGGCUGAAGUAGGUCCCAAGGGUAUGGCUGUUCGCCAUUUAAAGUGGUACGCGAGCUGGGUUUAGAACGUCGUGAGACAGUUCGGUCCCUAUCUGCCGUGGGCGCUGGAGAAUUGAGGGGGGCUGCUCCUAGUACGAGAGGACCGGAGUGGACGCAUCACUGGUGUUCGGGUUGUCAUGCCAAUGGCAUUGCCCGGUAGCUAAAUGCGGAAGAGAUAAGUGCUGAAAGCAUCUAAGCACGAAACUUGCCCCGAGAUGAGUUCUCCCUGACUCCUUGAGAGUCCUGAAGGAACGUUGAAGACGACGACGUUGAUAGGCCGGGUGUGUAAGCGCAGCGAUGCGUUGAGCUAACCGGUACUAAUGAACCGUGAGGCUUAACCUU
rnacentral:rRNA from 1 species